rnacentral:rRNA from 1 species
CAGUAGCCGCGGUAAUACGAAGGGGGCUAGCGUUGCUCGGAAUGACUGGGCGUAAAGGGCGCGUAGGCGGCGGCCAAAGUCAGGCGUGAAAUUCCCGGGCUCAACCUGGGAACUGCAUCUUAUACUGCGUAGCUGGAGUGCAGUAGAGGGUAGUGGAAUUUCCGGUGUAGCGGUGAAAUGCGUAGAUAUCGGAAGGAACACCAGUGGCGAAGGCGGCUACCUGGACUGACACUGACACUGAGGCGCGAAAGCGUGGGGAGCAAACAGGAUUAGAUACCCCCGUAGUCCCUGUCUCUUAUAC